rnacentral:rRNA from 1 species
CUACGAGGGGUGCAAGCGUUAAUCGGAAUUACUGGGCGUAAAGCGUUCGUAGGCGGUUUGUUAAGCAAGAUGUGAAAGCCCUGGGCUCAACCUGGGAACUGCAUUUUGAACUGGCAAGCUAGAAUACUGUAGAGGGUGGUGGAAUUUCCAGUGUAGCGGUGAAAUGCGUAGAGAUUGGAAGGAACAUCAGUGGCGAAGGCGGCCACCUGGACAGAUAUUGACGCUGAGGAACGAAAGCGUGGGGAGCGAACAGGAUUAGAAACCCGGGUAGUCC